rnacentral:rRNA from 1 species
GACGAACGCUGGCGGCGUGCUUAACACAUGCCAGUCGAACGGAAAGGCCCUGCUUUUGUGGGGUGCUCGAGUGGCGAACGGGUGAGUAACACGUGAGUAACCUGCCCUUGACUUUGGGAUAACUUCAGGAAACUGGGGCUAAUACCGGAUAGGAGCUCCUGCUGCAUGGUGGGGGUUGGAAAGUUUCGGCGGUUGGGGAUGGACUCGCGGCUUAUCAGCUUGUUGGUGGGGUAGUGGCUUACCAAGGCUUUGACGGGUAGCCGGCCUGAGAGGGUGACCGGCCACAUUGGGACUGGGAUACGGCCCAGACUCCUACGGAAGGCAGCAGUGGGGAAUAUUGCACAAUGGGCGGAAGCCUGAUGCAGCAACGCCGCGUGCGGGAUAACGGCCUUCGGGUUGUAAACCGCUUUCGCCUGUGACGAAGCGUGAGUGACGGUAAUGGGUAAAGAAGCACCGGCUAACUACGUG